GUUUAUUGGUCAUUGCUCCUGGAAGGGCCACCGUUGAUGAACUUCAUAUCAUCAUGAUCCAGGCAGAUUACCACAUGAUGCACAGAUGCAGAACUUGAUUGACUUUGAAGUGCGCAAUUUGGGGCGGCCAUUUUCGACGACCAGACCUCUUCUGUUGAUCCACGGUGAAGGCAUUUCUUGAAUGAAAAUUAAAGAAAAUCUUGGGACAUCUGACUUCAAUAGAGUCAAGGUAAAUAAGGUAAGAACUUUUACAGUGAUUUUUCAAGAUGAUGUAGCAGACCUGUGCGUGCAUAUAUUGAACAGAGCAUGAAUCAUGACUCUUGAGUGAUCUAGCCAGGCCGGCGUUUCCCCAAAGCAUGGUAAACCUAAAUUAGUUAGUUUUGCACUCUGGUUCCUUAUGAUUUUGUUCAUCUUCAAAACUUCUAAUGAAGAUAUUUGAAGAAAGUUGUCAGCCGUUUGUGUCCAUACAAUGAGGGUGAAUGGUGACCAGCACUUUGAUGCAAGAACAUAAAGGCAGCAUCAGCGUAAUCCGAAAAUAGACCAAGAUGGCCUUGCAGAGCACACACUGAAGAUUGUCACCAGAGGGGGAUAUCCAGAUGGCAGACCUUUAGAGGCAGGAAUAGUCUUAGAAAGUGUUCAAGUUCUGGCAGGAUUGUCCAGUGUUGGCCUGAUGUAUUCUGUAAACCUAAAUUACCCCAAGCCACUGAGGUAUACAUUUGAAUUUUUUCAGAAAAUGCUGCUUGAGCUAGACAGUGCAAAACUAUCUCCAAAGAUUCUAACUUUAAAGAACAAGAUGUUGAGUUAAAUUUAUGAAGCCAUGUUGUCUUGUUGACGAUGCAAAUGCAUUUUUAAUGCCAUAGAGCAUUGCACAACUUACACAUGCAAAAGUCAACACAAGCAUACAACACCACAAAGAUUAUAUAAACAACAUACUCAAAUCUACACCGCACUCAAACACACACACAAGCAUACAACGCCACAAAGAUUUUAUAAACAACAUAUUCAACUCGACACCGCACUCAAACACACACACAAGCAUACAACACCAUAAAGAUUAAAAAGCACGUUGAUGCUUACUGUUGUUAUUUGUGACAGAAUGUUUACUGUUGUUCAUUAAUAUUUAUUUUCAGUCAUUAUUUUUGUCAAAUGCCUGUUUAACGGCAGAACACAGUA